rnacentral:rRNA from 1 species
GACGAACGCUGGCGGCGUGCUUAACACAUGCAAGUCGAACGGUGAAGCUCCAGCUUGCUGGAGUGGAUCAUUUGCGAACGUGUGAGUAACACGUGAGCAACCUGCCCCUGACUCUGGAAUAAGCUCUGGAAACUGCUUCUAAUACUGGAUACGAGAAGUUUCCGCAUGGGCACUUUCUGUAAAGUUUUUCGGUUGGGGAUGGGCUCGCGGCCUAUCAGCUUUUUGGUGAGGUAAUGGCUCACCAAGGCGACGACGGGUAGCCGGCCUGAGAGGGCGACCGGCGACAAUGGGACUGAGACACGGCCCAGACGACUACGGGAGGCAGCAGUGGGGAAUAUUGCACAAUGGGCGAAAGCAUGAUGCAGCGAAGCAGCGUGAGGGAUGACGGCCCUCGGGUUGUAAACCUCUUUCAGCAGGGAAGAAGAGAAAGUGACGGUACCUGCAGAAGAAGCACCGGCUAACUACGUG